rnacentral:rRNA from 1 species
UACGAAGGGGGCAAGCGUCGUUCGGAUUUACUGGGCGUAAAGGGCGCGCAGGCGGCUCUUCAAGUCAGAUGUGAAAGCCCCGGGCUCAACCUGGGAACUGCAUUUGAGACUGAAGAACUCGAGUUCGGGAGAGGAUGGCGGAAUUCCCAGUGGAGAGGUGAAAUUCGUAGAUAUUGGGAAGAACACCGGUGGCGAAGGCGGCCAUCUGGACCGAGACUGACGCUGAGGCGCGAAAGCGUGGGGAGCGAACAGG